rnacentral:lncRNA from 1 species
CACCAGUCGGCGGCGGCGAAGGCCAGCCGGUCGGCGAAGACGUGGACGCCCAUGAACGGUGGUGUGACCAACCAACCGUAUAGGCGAGGACACCAGUCGGCGGCGACGGAGGCAGGCCGGCGGUGAAGUCGUAGACGCCCAACAUCGGCGGCAUAAUAGGCUAGCCGUGUAGGCAGAAACACCAGUCGGCGGCGGCGAAGGCCAGCCGGUCGGCGAAGACGUGGACGCCCAUGAACGGUGGUAUGACCAACCAACCGUAUAGGCAAGGACACCAGUCGGCGGCGACGGAGGCAGGCCGGCGGUGAGGUCGUAGACGCCCAACAGCGGCGGCAUAAUAGGCCAGCCGUGUAGGCGGAGGCACCAGUCGGCGGCGACGGAGGCAGGCCGGCGGUGAAGUCGUAGACACCCAACAGCGGCGGCAUAAUAAGCCAGCCGUGUAGGCGGAGGCACCACUCGGCGGCGGCGAAGGCCAGCCGGUCGGCGAAGACGUGGACGCCCAUGAACGGUGGUAUGACCAACCAACCGUAUAGGCAAGGACACCAGUCGGCGGCGACGGAGGUAGGCCGGCGGUGAGGUCGUAGACGCCCAACAGCGGCGGCAUAAUAGGCCAGCCGUGUAGGCGGAGGCACCAGUCGGCGGCGACGGAGGCAGGCCGGCGGUGAAGUCGU